CCUCCGCGGCAGGAGGGCCGGAAGCCUUUCCUGCCUUCUCAGACGCUGGAAAAAGCUGACUCGUGAGGUCUCAAGAGGGUGGCUAGCCCCGUUGCUGUGGAAACAGCUAGUCUGUGCCUCCCCCACCGUAACCCGAGGCUACGCUGGAGAGGUUGCCGCCCUCUUUUCCGGCUCUUCAGCUCCGGUGACCGCCCAGCCUCCUGACACAGACGCUCAGAGUGCGAAUCCAGGGCCUGCUGCCCCUUGGGCAGACCUCCGCCCACCACCUAUAUUGUUAUGUUGCAUGAUACUGGUUGGUUUGCGCCUGUGUCUCUAAUAGAUUCAGCUGCCUGAGGGCAGGGGCGGUAUCUUUUUUUGCGUUUGCAUUCCUAACGUCCAGCACGCCUUAUGUAAGAGGAAUCAGGGACGAGGAGACUGAAUACCCACCAAAAAGGAAGUUUGAAUUGGGAGCUAAUAUGGGAGCAAAGAUGAUAUCCUUCCAUCUGGACAGACUACAGAGGCUGAACCAUUUACUUAAAAUUUACUAGAUGUUUGGCACUGUGCGUGAAUUGUCUCAUCUAAUGCAACUCUGACAGGCUCCCAGGGGAUUCCGAUGCUGCUAGUCCCUGGACCACACUUUGAGCAUCAAGGCUGUAGAAUUUUUACUGCUGAUAUGAAAAGACAUUACCAAAAUAUGAUGAAAUAAA